rfam:Rattus norvegicus chromosome 6, whole genome shotgun sequence.
GGGGAUUUAGCUCAGUGGUAGAGCACUUGCCUAGCAAGCACAAGACCCUGGGUUCGGUCCCCAGCUCCA